CCUACAGGGGGCUGCAGUGGGGAAUAUUGGACAAUGGGGGCAACCCUGAUCCAGCCAUGCCGCGUGUGUGAAGAAGGCCCUCGGGUUGUAAAGCACUUUCAGUGAGGAAGAACGCCUGGUGGUUAAUACCCAUCAGGAAAGACAUCACUCACAGAAGAAGCACCGGCUAACUCCGUGCCAGCAGCCGCGGUAAUACGGAGGGUGCGAGCGUUAAUCGGAAUUACUGGGCGUAAAGCGCGCGUAGGUGGCUUGAUAAGCCGGUUGUGAAAGCCCCGGGCUCAACCUGGGAACGGCAUCCGGAACUGUCAAGCUAGAGUGCAGGAGAGGAAGGUAGAAUUCCCGGUGUAGCGGUGAAAUGCGUAGAGAUCGGGAGGAAUACCAGUGGCGAAGGCGGCCUUCUGGACUGACACUGACACUGAGGUGCGAAAGCGUGGGUAGCAAACAGGAUUAGAUACCCUAGUAGUC
rnacentral:rRNA from 1 species